GAUGAACGCUGGCGGCGUGCUUAACACAUGCAAGUCGAACGAGAAGUGAAGACGGAAACCUUCGGGCGGAAGGCUUUAUUUCGAGUGGCGGACGGGUGAGUAACGCGUGGGUAACCUGCCUCAUACGGGGGGAUAACAGUUGGAAACGACUGUUAAUACCGCAUAAGACCACAGCACCGCAUGGUGCGGGGGUAAAAACUCCGGUGGUAUGAGAUGGACCCGCGUUCGAUUAGCCAGUUGGCGGGGUAACGGCCCACCAAAGCGACGAUCGAUAGCCGAUCUGAGAGGAUGACCGGCCACAUUGGGACUGAGACACGGCCCAAACUCCUACGGGAGGCAGCAGUGGGUAAUAUUGCACAAUGGGGGAAACCCUGAUGCAGCGACGCCGCGUGAGUGAAGAAGUAUUUCGGUAUGUAAAGCUCUAUCAGCAGGGAAGAAAAUGACGGUACCUGAGUAAGAAGCCCCGGCUAACUACGUG
rnacentral:rRNA from 1 species